rnacentral:lncRNA from 1 species
UGAAUAUAUUUUUUUAUUUGUUAAAUAUAACAUGAAUAUAAAAUUUGAACUUAACAUAAAUUCUUAAAGUGUAAAAAAAAGGAAAUUCUAAGUGUAAAUAUAUAUUCAUGUACGCAUAAAAAUACAUUCUUAAAAAUAGAUAAAUAAGACAAAAUGUAACAGUAUUUAUAUAUAUAUAUAUAUAUAUAUAUAUUUGCUUAUGUUUCUGUAUAAAUUAUUAAUGUUUUUUUUUUAAAGUUUGUAAGUAUAUACAUCAUUGUAUAAAAAAAAAACACUUAGUAAAAAAAUAAAAUAAAAUAAUCAGCUUGUCAAAAAUAAAUAAACUAUUAGUUAUGCUUGUAGUUAUCCAUUAAUAAGACUUUUUUAUUUACUAGGUGCAAAAAAAAAAAAAAAAAAAAUGGACGAAAAAGUUGAGUUUCUUAUAAGUAUAAUAAAUAAAUGGAAAAACAAGUAUUCUUACAAAAUAGUUGUUAAAGAAUAUAAUCAAGAGAAAAGGGAGCACUACUACGAUGUUACUUUUUUUGAAAAAAAUGAAAAUGAAUUUGUUCCGAAGUACACAAUAAAUGCAUAUUUUAUCAUAACGGAAAUAAAAAUAAUAAAUAGCUAUCUAAGUUAUUCAAGUGCUAAUGCUGGUGAAAAAUAUUUUGUGUCUUUUAAAUUCGAGAAUGAAAAUUUAUCCAGAACUUUAAAAAUGAACUUAAAUUAUGAAGCCUGGAUUGAUAAGUUGAUCAAAGACAAGAAAAAAUUAAGAAAUAAAAUAGAUUUAUCAUCUGAGUUUAUGAAAACUAGGUUUGUCGAACCCACUUCGGAGGAUAAUGUACAAAAGAUUUUACAAAAAAUUAAAGAAGAACGAGAAACAGCAAGAAAAAAAAAGAAAGAAGAAGAAGAAGAAGAAAAAAAUAAAAAUAAAAAGUAUGUAAAAAAAAGAAGAUAUAUCAUUACAAAAGAAGACAUUUUAUGA